rnacentral:rRNA from 1 species
GAUGAACGCUAGCGGCAGGCUUAACACAUGCAAGUCGAGGGGUAUAGUUCUUCGGAACUAGAGACCGGCGCACGGGUGCGUAACGCGUAUGCAAUCUACCUUUUACAGGGGAAUAGCCCAGAGAAAUUUGGAUUAAUGCCCCUUAGUAUAGUUUAUUCGCAUGAGUAGACUAUUAAAGUUCCAACGGUAAAAGAUGAGCAUGCGUCCCAUUAGCUAGAUGGUAAGGUAACGGCUUACCAUGGCGACGAUGGGUAGGGGUCCUGAGAGGGAGUGCCCCCCCACCGGUGCUGAGACACGGACCGGACUCCUACGGGAGGCAGCAGUGAGGAAUAUUGGGCAAUGGACGCAAGUCUGAACCAGCCAUGCCGCGUGCAGGAGGACGGUCCUAGGGAUUGUAAACUGCUUUUGUACGAGAAGAAACACUGCUACGUGUAGCAGCUUGACGGUAUCGUAAGAAUAAGGAUCGGCUAACUCCGUGCCAGCCGCCGCCGUAA